UCGUGACCGGACUUUUGAACCUUGUGACGGCAGACGAGUUUCCCUUGCGGACGCCCGGAAUUCUUGAACGAAAGAAAAUCAGCGUGAAGAACAGAACAGAUUUCGUGUUUUGUAGGUGGAACAAGUCGAUUGAAUUUUUGCAGUGCAAAAAAUCCCCGCACACACAAAAAAAAAGUAAUCGAACCGGAGUGACAGGCUCGUGAACGGAGAUGGUGUCGUCUUCGAGGUAGUAGCACAACUUGACCGGGUGGACGGUCCUGCAGGAAUAGCCCCAGGCUACUGAAUCCUCGACGUAGAAUCCAUCGAAGCGCAGUGUCUGUAUACAAAAAAAAAACAGGAUGGGGGAGACACAGAAAUUUUGAAUUGCAAAUGAGGUUUUUUGCGUGUGCGUGGCCCCAUCUUCCAUUUGCAUAGUAAUUAUAACAGCCCAAUGAUGCCAAAGAGUUUUGCUUACCAGUCGGUCAUAGAGGACGCUCUUCGGCACGAAAGGUCGGCUCGAAUCCGCUUUGUAGGGCGGAUAGAUGGGCGGUGACAAACCGGCUAGUUCACGAUCCAUAUGUUUCGAAUCUCGUUCGAAAUGAACCGCCGAUCUUUUGAAUGUUAAAAAACUAAAUAGUUAGUUCCCUACUUCCCCCCGUCUCAACAUCACAACAACUAUAAAUAUUGCCUUUCUAUAAUGUAAAUACGUACGUUUUUUAGGUAUCGGAACAAAAGGAAACUUCCCAAAAAAAAAAGAAGUGGGGGGGGGGGGGGUAGAAUUGAUAUAUAGGACCCUCUCUGCAGACAGCCGGACGUGUUAAGGAAAUUGAUCGAACGUAUACACAACAAGAAAUAAUGGGAACAGUAGCAGAGGGAGUUUCAAAACGUAUAUACUUUUAUAUCUAGCCCAUAUGUGUCCCUUUUAGGUAUAAUCCAACAUUUUUCAAUCUCGCGUAGAGACAGCUUGUAUGUGUAUCAUUUUCCGUUAGACUACACUCGGAUUAUUAGAAAAAGAAGAGGACGAUCCAAACGGGGGCACAUGUUUUUACCUGGAAGCGACUAGCUGAGGCGGACGGAAUCGAUGCAAGUCGUAGUCUGCUUGGGACGAUAUUGAGUUCAAGUUCCCGGAAGUUGACGAAUAACAGUUCCCCUUGGGUAGAGGAACUCCGUCGUGGAAGUGAAGCGUUUGACAUUUCCGAUAGUUGGACUUUUCACGAAAAUUUUUUUUUGAACAGACGGAAAAUUUUAAUAUUUUCAAACAGGAGAAAGAUAUGCGGGAAGAGUCAAAGAACAUUAGGUCGAUAGAUCCAGCCACCCCCCCCUCCCCCCCUUUUUCGCGAGAAACGUUCAUCACAAUCACGGUGAUGAGAAUUUUCUAAUCGACUCUUGAGUUGCACUCGUAUCAAGGUAUAUUUGAAACCUUGCAAAAAAAAAAUUAAUCGGCAAUUGCAUUCUCCUUUCAGCAUCAACUAAAAGACUUGAAUUUGUGUAUUGUUGAUGACUCUAUUCUCCUUAAAAAGGGGGGGACUUUCGUACGCCUCAAUGGCUCCAUAACCGAAACAUUGGUCCGCUCGGUUGAUUGCCACACAAUAUAGACUUUCAGUUCUUUAUGUAACUGCCAACUAGUUCUUCGCUGCUGUUAGCCCAUCACGCAGAUAUAUAGGUCGAGUAUUUCGUGUGCAGCGGUAUAUAUAUAUCCUUUCCUAUCAGAGAGUCAUUCUCUUUUGGCGAGUUUCAGAUCAGAUUUAUGACACACAUUCACUUGACGCUUUGGGUGUGUAUCCUCUUCGUUCUGCAACUCUCAUUUUAUAGAUAUAUAUAUUUAUGGCGUACAAUCAAAAGGAAGGCUAAAGAAGAAAAGGAGACCCAUCAUCCAAAAGAAUCGAGGCAUUUUUUUUUUUUUUUUUGCACAACAGUCUACGACAUAUCGCGAUCAAUAAUGCAGACGUGGCUCUCUUUACACUUUACAGCUUAAACACAUUUUAUGUAGAUCUAAAAAAACGAACUGUAAUUUGUUUGACAUUUAAAGAUUUUUACCUUGAUCGCUUUUUGCCCAAUUCCCGGCAACAUCACGUGAUUUUUCGAGCCGUUGUGAACUGCACACACAGACGAACGAAAGGUUUCUCUCUCUCUCUCUCUCAAUUUUUAAAAACCCAACAAACUGUAAAACAACAGAGAGAGACAGGAGAGAGAGAAACUUUCUCCGGAUGACUUGUCCAGCCAACUGAUGUGUGUAGCCAAAAUGUUAGGACGUGUCCAGGACAACCGAUCCCUUUUCAUACUUCUCUCAGGGUCUAUAAAGCAGCGCUUGCCCUAGCCUUUAUUUUGUGUGUCAUCAUCGUAAAUGCAUAUACAGUAAGGGGAGGGGAAUCAAAAUGCAGAAGUAAUGCCCGAAAGGGCAAAACUUAUACAGUAGAAGAACAAGAAACUUCAUAUAAGUGUGUGUGUGUGUGUGUGUGUGUAGGGUGUAACCGUUGACGAUUCGACCAAACUCUCAUAUGUGUGUGUGUGUGUGUGUAACCCUCGUCCGUCUGCUACGUGUUUCAUCAGCCAUGCGAAUGAUGAUGAUGAUGCGGAAUCAAUAUUUUCCUCGUCUGUAUAUAUACAGCCGGAAGGAGGGCCUUUCUAUAACGUGCCAUUCGCUCGAUUUGAUUUUGUUUUA